rfam:Oryza glumipatula chromosome 1, whole genome shotgun sequence.
CCUGAUUUCCGUGUCUAAUGCUUGACCGUCCGUCUUAUUUAAAAAAAUUAUGAAAAAAAUUAAAAAGACAAGUCACGCACAAAGUAUUAAUUAUGUUUUAUCAUCUAACAACAAUAAAAAUAUGAAUUAUAAAAAAAUUACAUAUAAGACGGACAGUCAAAGUUGGACACGGAAACCCAGAGUUUGUCUUUUU